rnacentral:rRNA from 1 species
UACGUAGGUGGCAAGCGUUGUCCGGAUUUACUGGGCGUAAAGGGCGUGCAGGCGGUCUGUUAAGUGCAGGGUGAAAGCUCCCGGCUCAACUGGGAGAGGUCCUUGCAUACGGGCAGACUUGAGUUCGGUAGGGGGAGACUGGAAUUCCUGUGUAGCGGUGAAAUGCGCAGAUAUCAGGAGGAACACCGGUGGCGAAGGCGGGUCUCUGGGCCGAUACUGACGCUGAGGAGCGAAAGCGUGGGGAGCGAACAGG